GAUGAAUGCUGGCGGCGUGCCUAACACAUGCAAGUCGAGCGGCAGCGCGAGUAGUUUACUACUUGGCGGCGAGCGGCGGACGGCUGAGUAACGCGUGGGAACAUGCCCCAAAGUGAGGAAUAACUGCCCGAAAGGGUAGCUAAUGCCGCAUAUGAUCUUCGGAUUAAAGGAUUUAUCCGCUUUGGGAGUGGCCCGCGUACGAUUAGAUUGUUGGUGAGGUAAAGGCUCACCAAGUCGACGAUCGUUAACUGGUCUGAGAGGAUGAUCAGUCAGACUGGAACUGAGACACGGUCCAGACUCCUACGGGAGGCAGCAGUGAGGAAUUUUGGACAAUGGGCGCAAGCCUGAUCCGGCCAUGCCGCGUGUCUGAAGAAGGCCUUCGGGUUGUAAAGGACUUUUGUCCGGGAGCAAAUACCCAGUGCUAAUAACGCUGGGGGCUGAGAGUACCGGAAGAAUAAGCACCGGC
rnacentral:rRNA from 1 species